UAUCACACUACUGAGAGAAAUGGUUUAGCUUGAAAACAAUGCUCAAAACAUAACCAGAAACAGUCCCUUUCCCUUUCCUCAGAGGGUAAGGAUGAAAUGAUCUCCCAGGUCAAACCAUCCUGUGGAAGGCAAAUGACAAAGUUGCAUGUUAGGACAAAGCAAAACUAAGACCGGAGGAGGGGUGCCAUCUUACUUCUCAUUUCUGUCGUAUUUAAGACACAAAACCAAAACUGUGCACUGAGGAGAAAAAGCGCAACUCACAGACGGGAAAAUACAUUGUUUCCACUUGAAGUCUGCAGGUCCAGAUCUGUUUAUCUCAACCUUGGUUGUCCUCUAUGCUUGCAUAAAAACUGGACUGGUAUUUUCAGACUAGUAUUCACAGUUGUGGAGGGAAAUGCACACAGAACCAUUUCCGCUGAGGGCACAGACUGUGGAAGAGUCGUAAGUUUUAGAACUGAAGACAAAAUCUUUCUGUUUCUUCUUCGCACACUGAAAGAGUUGAAGGCACUGUCAUUUCCCUCCACGGGUGCAUUGUGGUGGAUCUAGAGCGCCAUCUUACAGCGAGUGGCCGAGCUUGCUCUCCCAGUUUGUCUCAGAACUUCCAAAGGGCUGAGCUCAUUCCUUCUGUCUGAGAUUUCCAAGGCUUUGAUGAGAGAUGGCAAGACAAGAAUCUCUUGCCUUUGCUGGUACAAAGAUAAGCCUGUCCACACCCUGGCAACCCUCCUUCCUGAAGUCUUGGUUCACUGGUGACAAAACUUCCCUUUACGGUUUGCAGUGAUCUGAGUUUUCCAAAGCAAAGGGAAUGCAAAAGCAACAAGAAAGGGAAAGGUUUACAAAUGCCGUCAUUGAGAAAAACUGCUGAUUGAACAUUGAAAAACCAACAGAGUCCUGUACUUAGCACAUGAAGUCUACCCAGGAAAGUGCCAGAUCAAAGUGGAAUAAUGGAGAAUCUUGUCCAGCACAGAGCAGAACUCAUGCCCUACACACAGCACACACAACAAAGAGGAUAUGGAGAGCAGAAAGCCAAACAUUUCUCUAAAAUCCAGGACAAUGAGUUUGGUGUCCUGCUGCGAAGAAUUCUAGUUUGGUCUUAGUGCUAAAGUUUGCUGACCUGGGGUCCUCAGAAGUGGAAGCAGACAGAAUAUCUGCCUUUCCGUGACCAUCGCUGGAGACUCCCAACCUCACUUCAAAAGCAUGACUUUGGCUCCACUCCAGAUGCAGGAUCAAAUCAUGAUGACAGUUAGUGGAGGAAAAAGAAAGACGUUUCCCUUUGUGUACAUAAUCAACGCUGCUGGCGAUCCUGUUAUGGAGCUACCAUAAUCACCUUCCUGAGUUCUAAAUAUGACCUCUUCUCAUGCCCCUUUUGAAGGUUCCAUUCUGUCUGAGAUAUCAUUUCACUCACAAUGCAUUUGAAAACUCCAGAUCCAGCACCAACUUUCUCAUCUUCCUCCUGCUAACCCUCUGAGCCAGUGGUUCAUUCAUCUGUUCCCACAGUGGAUUUCCUGUUAGUGCAAGUGUCCCUAUCUGUGUGUGAGGCCACUACACUUGUGAUCUGAAUCCUAUGAAUCUCCCCCCUCUGAAGAAUUCUUUUUCUAUGAAAUUGCCUCUCUCUACUCUUUAUGUCAAAUAGGAUCUUGAAUUUCAACUAGCUUAUGAAUAUGAUUUAAGAUUUCCCUUUCCUGUGAUAGUCAUAACCAGGUCCACCCAGGUGUACCUGAUACAUGUUCCCCUCACAUGGCAACACUGUUUCUCUGAUAGUUUUGUAUUUUCCUGGUGAUCCGUGACUGCUGUUCCCCCUUCCAUGUUCUCUUGUUGAGGGUAUACGGUUCUGAGUCACACACAGGCUGUGUUUUACUUGAGAACUCAGCAGCAGUCAAGACAGCCAACACACCCUGCCCUGUUUGGUAAAACUCAGUAAAUAGCUAUUGAUUACCAAUUAGGAGCUUAUGGAUCUUCUGGGUGCUUAAUUCAGUUAAUACGCGGCUUUGCUGAACUAGGCUGGGCUAGUUCUAGAAUGACCUAGGAUAAACUAAGGCUUUGGCUUUGCAUAUUCAACCAACAGUCGUCUACUACUUAUUUCUCAUUAGAGAGCUGUAGCGGUGGCUAACCAAUGACAGGUUUUAGCUCUUACCUUUAUUGGAGGUGCACUCUCACUAUGUAGUCCAAGCCUACUCCCCAGUCCUCCCCGGUUCUGACAUUCCAUACAGGAAUCACCAUCUGCCUAAUUCUUGGCUUUGUGUGUAUUUGUUAAUACGGAGGAAAAUAUUGUGAUCUUUCUAUUUAUCUCCAGCUUGGCAAAUAGCUGAGUUUUGUUUUCAGGUGGACUAAAGAUGGGUAAGAGCUCAGGAGGGCCCACUUCCAUUUUGUA